UUACGGCCAUACCAUGUUGAAACACCGGUUCUCGUACGAUCACAGAAGUUAAGCAACGUCGAGCCUUGUCAGUCCCUAGAUGGGCGACCACUUGGGGAAACUU